rnacentral:rRNA from 1 species
UACGGGAGGCAGCAGGUGGGGAAUAUUGCACAAUGGGCGAAAGCCUGAUGCAGCUAUGCCGCGUGUAUGAAGAAGGCCUUAGGGUUGUAAAGUACUUUCAUCGGGGAGGAAAAACAAAACUAAUAAUUUUAUUUCUUGACGUUACCCGAAAAAGAAGCACCGGCUAACUCCGUGCCAGCAGCCGCGGUAAUACGGAGGGUGCUAGCGUUAAUCAGAAUUACUGGGCGUAAAGAGCACGUAGGUGGUUUUUUAAGUCAGAUGUGAAAUCCCUGGGCUUAACCUAGGAACUGCAUUUUGAAACUGAAAUACUAGAGUAUCGUAGAGGGAGGUAGAAUUCUAGGUGUAGCGGUGAAAUGCGUAGAUAUCUGGAGGAAUACCUGUGGCGAAAGCGGCCUCCUAAACGAAUACUGACACUGAGGUGCGAAAGCGUGGGGAGGCAAACAGGGAUUAGAUACC